UUGAAAUAUAUAUUUUCCUAUGAAUGGCUUAUGAAAUAUGAGUAUAUGUGGCUAUAUUUGAUAAAUUGCAUUGGGAAUUUAUGUAAGUUGUUUUUACUAUGCAGGCUGGGUAAAUAAAUAAAAGCCAUGUUAUACUGUCGAAAUUUUAUUAAAAUUGGUGGGUUUAGUCACUACAGUGACGGGUUUUCGUGGACUGCCUAUU
rnacentral:lncRNA from 1 species